CUGCGCGUGCUUAAACAUGCAAGUUCGAACGGUUUUCCCUGGCAGCUUGCUGUCGGGGUGAGAGUGGCGAACGGGUGAGUAAUGCGUGACCAACCUGCCCUGUGCACCGGAAUAGCUCCUGGAAACGGGUGGUAAUACCGGAUGCUCCGCUCCAUCGCAUGGUGGGGUGGGAAAUGCUUUUGCGGCAUGGGAUGGGGUCGCGUCCUAUCAGCUUGUUGGCGGGGUGAUGGCCCACCAAGGCGUUGACGGGUAGCCGGCCUGAGAGGGUGACCGGCCACAUUGGGACUGAGAUACGGCCCAGACUCCUACGGGAGGCAGCAGUGGGGAAUAUUGCACAAUGGGCGCAAGCCUGAUGCAGCGACGCCGCGUGCGGGAUGGAGGCCUUCGGGUUGUAAACCGCUUUUGUUCAAGGGCAAGGCACGGUUUCGGCCGUGUUGAGUGGAUUGUUCGAAUAAGCACCGGCUAACUACGUGCCAGCAGCCGCGGUAAUACGUAGGGUGCGAGCGUUAUCCGGAUUUAUUGGGCGUAAAGGGCUCGUAGGCGGUUCGUCGCGUCCGGUGUGAAAGUCCAUCGCCUAACGGUGGAUCUGCGCCGGGUACGGGCGGGCUGGAGUGCGGUAGGGGAGACUGGAAUUCCCGGUGUAACGGUGGAAUGUGUAGAUAUCGGGAAGAACACCAAUGGCGAAGGCAGGUCUCUGGGCCGUCACUGACGCUGAGGAGCGAAAGCGUGGGGAGCGAACAGGAUUAGAUACCCUGGUAGUCCACGCCGUAAACGGUGGAUGCUGGAUGUGGGGCCCUUUCCACGGGUCCCGUGUCGGAGCCAACGCGUUAAGCAUCCCGCCUGGGGAGUACGGCCGCAAGGCUAAAAACUCAAAGAAAUUGACGGGGGCCCGCACAAGCGGCGGA
rnacentral:rRNA from 1 species